rnacentral:rRNA from 1 species
UAGGGAAUCUUCCACAAUGGACGCAAGUCUGAUGGAGCAACGCCGCGUGAGUGAAGAAGGCUUUCGGGUCGUAAAAACUCUGUUAUUGAAGAAGAACGUGUGUGACAGUAACUGGUCAUGCAGUGACGGUAUUCAAUCAGAAAGUCACGGCUAACUACGUGCCAGCAGCCGCGGUAAUACGUGGGUGGCAAGCGUUGUCCGGAUUUAUUGGGCGUAAAGCGAGUGCAGGCGGUCUUUUUAAGUCUGAU